CCUACGGGAGGCAGCAGUGAGGAAUAUUGGUCAAUGGACGAGAGUCUGAACCAGCCAAGUAGCGUGAAGGAUGACUGCCCUAUGGGUUGUAAACUUCUUUUAUAAAGGAAUAAAACGAGGCACGUGUGCCUUUUUGCAUGUACUUUAUGAAUAAGGAUCGGCUAACUCCGUGCCAGCAGCCGCGGUAAUACGGAGGAUCCGAGCGUUAUCCGGAUUUAUUGGGUUUAAAGGGAGCGUAGAUGGGUUGUUAAGUCAGUUGUGAAAGUCUGCGGCUCAACCGUAAAAGUGCAAUUGAUACUGGCAGGCUGGAGUACAGAUGAGGUAGGCGGAAUUCGUGGUGUAGCGGUGAAAUGCUUAGAUAUCACGAAGAACACCGAUUGCGAAGACAGCUUACUAAACUGUGACUGACAUUGAUGCACGAAAGUGUGGGUAUCAAACAGGAUUAGAUACCCGAGUAGUC
rnacentral:rRNA from 1 species